rnacentral:sRNA from 1 species
AGCAGCCGCGGUAAUUCCAGCUCCAAUAGCGUAUAUUAAAGUUGUUGCAGUUAAAAAGCUCGUAGUUGAAUUUCGGGGUUAGUAGGUCGGUCAUGCCUCUGGUAUGUGCUGGUCUCACUGAUUCCUCCUUCCUGAUGAACCGUAAUGCCAUUAAUUUGGUGUUGCGGGGAAUUUGGACUGUUACUUUGAAAAAUUAGAGUGUUUAAAGCAGGCUCGCGCUUGAAUACAUUAGCAUGGAAUAAUGAAAUAGGACGUUUGAUUCUAUUUUGUUGGUUUCUAGGAUCGACGUAAUGAUUAAUAGGGAUAGUUGGGGGCAUUAGUAUUCAAUUGUCAGAGGUGAAAUUCUUGGAUUUAUUGAAGACUAACUACUGCGAAAGCAUUUGCCAAGGAUGUUUUCAUUAAUCAAGAACGAAAGUUAGGGGAUCGAAGACGAUCAGAUACCGUCGUAGUCUUAACCAUAAACUAUGCCGACUAGGGAUCGGAUGAUGUUAAUUUUUAAUGA